CCAAGGGAAGGCAGACAUCUGGACCCAGCUGAGGACAAGGACCCUGUGACCCCUCAGCUGGCUCAGUUUCUCUCUUAGCUCUGAGCUCUACCCAGUGCUGACUGAUGGAGCUUUCUGCUCAGGUAGGAGCCAUUGACCAUGCGUGGAUAUUUAUUUCAGUACAGUCCCUCUACGCUGACCUCUCAGGUGCUCGACUGCCACACCCCACCAACAGAACAGAGUCUGGUCCUUUCCAUCAUUGAGGAUAAUUCUGCGGAAGAAGGCCUCAAAGCAACAGAGCCAACCACCUGAAGACUAAACCUUCUGGAGCCAAAGGCCAAAAACUACAACAAAAAGCCCAAAACUUCUGACCUCAUCGAUCAAC